UUCCUAAAAUGUGCCUCUGACUUCCCAGCAACAUAAUCUCAGACAUACUGUUUGAGAAAUCUUAGAAAGUUCCUUUUUAAAGCAUUAUUCCUACAUUCUUCACAAUGUGUUUCCAUUAUAUUUAUUAAUAUACAGGUUUUAUUUACCUGAUUCCACAUGUGUGUACUGUGUGUGAGACUAGCACAAUGUGGGGGCUCUGCCUUUGCCACAUGUGGCUGCAGCAAGUCUGCUGAGAGGUAGAACACUAGUGGCUGCAGAUGAAAAGAAAGGAUCCCAUAUAUGGUCAAAGACUCAAAAUCAUAAUCUUUCAAGCAUUCAGUGGCUGAAUACAAAAUUGGUACUUCAGGACAAUACUUUGUGGUACAUAAAAAGAUGGAGACAGACAAAAGGAAUGUUUGCCAGGACAAUGAGUUUCUCUGUUUGAGGCACUGAAAAAGAAGAGGGGAAUUACAAGCUUCUGUAACUAUUUUAAAUGCAAAACACUUGAGGUCAGUGUUUCCAGGGUCUGUAGGUUUUGGAUCUUGUUUUUGGUUUGGUUUUUUCUUUUAUAUGGUGACUCUCCUUCAUUUCUUUGGUUUUGGGAAGCAGUAAAGAUGGCACUAAAAAAGUCUUGGUCAUGAAAUCUGUGUUCUGGUUCCUUUUCUGCUACUGACCUUUCGCAUGACCUGAAGGAAACAAUUCUAAUACUUCUUCUUUUUUCUGUGCUCUAGAUAGCUGGUGGCCAGUCUACUUUCGCAGAUAAUAACUGACUUUACGGAGUUCUCCAAAGGUUUGCAUAUGUUCCUCUGUAAUGCAAUGAAGACCAGCAUUACAAAGACAAAGUCACACUUAGCCCUUUAUGAGGUGGUUGUCUAAGAGCCAACGGAGCCUGUGCCUUAGCAGGGCAAAAAUGUCAAUGACCUAAGUUCACAAGUUAUUUUCAAAAGAGAUUAUAACAUAUGCUGGGCCUGCUGAAUCCUUCCUUUAGGUUUACCACAAGAUAGCACCUCAGUGAAUAACUAC